UUGAAUUGAAGAGUUUGAUCAUGGCUCAGAUUGAACGCUGGCGGCAGGCUUAACACAUGCAAGUCGAACGGUAGCAGGAA
rnacentral:rRNA from 1 species